UAAGUGUUUCAAAAUAUAACUGGUUUUGUUCUUCUCAAUUCUACACUAGCAAGGAGCAAAUAUGGUAAAUUUACAAAUUCACAUAAUAACAUACAACAAUUUCAAUACAUUAGAGCAUAACAAUUCCAAAAAUACAAGUUGAUCACCACAUUACAAUUGUUUAGAUGUCAACCAGAGCUUCAAAUGUGAAAGCCAAAUCAAAUUUAAAGAAAGGCCUUAACUUCCAAUUCCCAAGCACAUGAAUAUCUUAUGAUCUGAUGGCUUUCUUGUACCAAUAAUAUUCAGAAAAUCAAGACCCGGGAACUUAUGAUCUCAAUAGCUUAUCGUAUAUGAUUAGUGAGAUCCAGGCUAGAGUCAUGACAGUAGCCUAUGCUCGCUCACACUGCCUGUAGAUACCCACUCCAAACCAAGCAAGGACAAUUACGAACUAGUAUUCCAUUGUCAGACAAAUUGGCAAUCCUCACAUUUGAUCCCACAAGGUAGGAAGUACAUGGAUGCACACAAAUGUAAUUAAAUUAUCUCUUGUUUGACUAGAUAAAACAAGUCAGGUGUAAUUGAGAAAAAGCAUGCUAAUUAUCAUACUGACUUGAUUAAAAGAUGUACAAAGUCCUAAUUUUUUUAACACAACCAAGAAUAUCUAUCAUCGCCAAAAAGGCAAAAUCAAAACCAGACAAGGAUUCGCUAUUAUAACUAAUCUCGUAAUCUAAAAGGGUCAUAAAUCACUAACCACUUUAAUGUCCCCUUGUGCGGUCACAAAAAAAUAUGAUUUUGAAUCAAUAUGAUCUCCCAUUUAUAUAUUCUAUUCUAGUGCGUGAAAUUGUGGUGAAGAAAUUCAAAUAUUACAAACAAAUGCUCCUUUAAUCACAGAUACGAAUUCUUUCUUGUACCAGUUUAACCAAGAACUGUAAAUUUCAUUAAAAUGGGAAUGUAGAAAUGAUUGGUCUGAUUCAAAUUUGCACUAAUUCAAAGCUUGCCGUUUAAAUCCCUUUAUGUGGAGCAAGAAAUACAUAUACAUCACAUUCCUAUAUAUAGAUAGAUACACAAAUAUAAAGAGGAUGGUCAAAGAAAAUAAGCCUUCAUACGCGGGCUCCGGGAAGAACCAGAAGAAACAUUAAACACAAAAUCAACCAAAAUAUGUUAAAGAUGUACAAGUCCUAACUUGUUCAAAACCCCCAAAAAUCUUACCUUUUUAUAGUCGGUGAUAUUGCAAAGCUAAAGAUAUUGACUUCUUUGUUGUUCAACGGAUAGACAGCAAUCGGAGAUAGUGAAGAGAAUGGCGGCGAAGUUGGUGGAAAUUAAUGAUUCACGACAUAGGUUCGGCGAUCAAAAACUGGGUGUGCGUUCGACGAGGGUAAAGAGGGAUUGGUUUUGCUUUCCUUCGAUUAAUUGAUGCAUUUUUUCUUUUCUUUUUUUUUUUCCAAAAAAUGCUUGCCAGCUCAUCUGUAUGGCUUCUGUGAGCCAAUUAUGUACACGUAGCUGCUUCGAAAAUAAAAAUAAAUAUAAA
rnacentral:lncRNA from 1 species